rnacentral:rRNA from 1 species
UGGGGAAUAUUGGACAAUGGGGGCAACCCUGAUCCAGCAAUGCCGCGUGUGUGAAGAAGGCCUGAGGGUUGUAAAGCACUUUCAGUAGGGAGGAGGGUAAUUAGGUUAAGAGCUGGAUUACUGGACGUUACCUACAGAAGAAGCACCGGCUAACUCCGUGCCAGCAGCCGCGGUAAUACGGAGGGUGCAAGCGUUAAUCGGAAUUACUGGGCGUAAAGAGUGCGUAGGUGGUUAAUUAAGUUAUGUGUGAAAUCCCUGGGCUUAACCUGGGCAGGUCAUAUAAUACUGAUUGACUCGAGUAUGGGAGAGGGUAGUGGAAUUUCCGGUGUAGCGGUGAAAUGCGUAGAGAUCGGAAGGAACACCAGUGGCGAAGGCGGCUACCUGGCCUAAUACUGACACUGAGGCACGAAAGCGUGGGGAGCAAACAGG